rnacentral:rRNA from 1 species
GACGGAGGGUGCUAGCGUUGUUCGGAAUUACUGGGCGUAAAGGGCGCGUAGGCGGCCGUUUGCGUCGGAUGUGAAAGCCCGGGGCUCAACCCCGGAACGGCAUCCGAUACGGGACGGCUGGAGACCGGGAGAGGAGGGUGGAAUAGCCAGUGUAGAGGUGAAAUUCGUAGAUAUUGGCUGGAACACCGGUGGCGAAAGCGGCUCUCUGGCCCGGUUCUGACGCUGAGGCGCGAAAGCCAGGGGAGCAAACGGG